rnacentral:rRNA from 1 species
GACGGAGGAGGCAAGCGUUGUCCGGAAUUAUUGGGCGUAAAGGGUACGUAGGCGGCUGGUCAAGUCUGGGGUCAAAGGCCACAGCUCAACUGUGGGAAGGCCCUGGAAACUGACCGGCUAGAGUGAGGUAGGGGUUGCGGGAAUUCCCGGUGUAGCGGUGAAAUGCGUAGAGAUCGGGAAGAACACCUGAGGCGGAAGCGCGCAACUGGGCCUCAACUGACGCUGAAUCACGAAAGCUAGGGGAUCAAACGGG